rnacentral:rRNA from 1 species
CAGUAGCCACGGGAAUACGAAGGGGGCUAGCGUUGUUCGGAUUUACUGGGCGUAAAGCGCACGUAGGCGGAUCGAUCAGUCAGGGGUGAAAUCCCAGAGCUCAACUCUGGAACUGCCUUUGAUACUGUCGAUCUGGAGUAUGGAAGAGGUGAGUGGAAUUCCGAGUGUAGAGGUGAAAUUCGUAGAUAUUCGGAGGAACACCAGUGGCGAAGGCGGCUCACUGGUCCAUUACUGACGCUGAGGUGCGAAAGCGUGGGGAGCAAACAGGAUUAGAUACCCCCGUAGUCCCUGUCUCUUAUAU